CUGCAGGUGUGAUUUAUGCUCUCAGUACGGGGCUAUAAAUCACCCUGCCUUUGUUUCCACAGGCUGCUUCUGCUACUGCUGCUGCUGCCGCAUCAAGACAUAGCCGUCCCUCUGCCUCAUCUAUAGUAGCAAAACACACACCCGAACACACACACACGCCCUGCGUGGACAGCAAUAAAGACCGAGCGAAGACGCACAACGAUGGAAAUGGAUGGAUGGAGGGUAGGAAGAAUAGGGCCGACUAGUUGGAGUCUAUCAGUGAGUGAUAUGUGUUGAGUCCAGGAGGUAUGGGUGCGCUCUCACACACGAGCACACACACGAGUGUCAGCGCAGAGCUCAUGUUUCUCAAUUGUAUUGACUCUGGCACUGUUGGACUCUAAAAAAAGGACCAGAUUUGCUAAAGCUUUCACACUUAAAUUAACACUUUGCUUGCAAAUUUAGUUGUUUUUACUGAUCUAAUUCAAGGCAGCAGAGAUGGAGCAUGGACGUAGAUUAAGUUAUAUUGACUGUGACCAUUUUAGCAUGUGUUAUCGGGCCUGGCUCUGUGUCCCGUAUUACUUUACCACUGAUUAAUAUUCUGCUUUGACUGUUAAAGCAUGUGUUGAGUGCAUCCCCCUUUACUCAAAAGUCUAUAUUUUGGUCCCUGUAAACAGAAAUGUUUAUUAUCAAAAGGUCUUUAGUACUUGGGAAUUUUAAAAAAUUGACUUUGAGGAUUUUUUGCAGGGGGUAAUAUGUUAAUUACACAAAGGAUUUGUCAAAACAAUUACACAUUAAUUCUUUGAUGAAUAGUAGACCAGUUCUGAAUAGCCACCAAUGUCUGGUCACAGUCACAAGUCACUGCUUACAAGAACUUUACUGGUGAGGACAUAGGCAGUAUUGAUAUGAUGGGUGUGUGGGUGGGAAUGGCACUUGAGCAAGGUCACAAGUCCUGCUUAUGACAGUCACAUUGUCAGCAUUCUUAAACUAGAGCGGAUAAAGCCUUUUGUUCUCCCACCACUUUUGAUGGGGAGUAUAAAAUGGGUUAAAUUACUGUAGACUGUGACGUAUACGGAACAGCAGGGUUGAACAGUAAAAAAAAAACAACAACAGAGGUUUGUUGAGUGUGCGAGAAAACCAUCUUUGUAAGAUGCUCCGUGUGACAAAUGGCAACAUUUCAGGAGUCAUGCUGGGAGGUGGUGUUACUUGUAGCUGCACCAUGAGUCAAUGCUGACAUCUUUGGAGAUGAUUGAUUCACCCCGUCUGGCCAGAGAGGAGUGAAGAGGAGAGCAGAGCUGGAUCCUCCCCGGGGCUGCAGCUUCCUGCCACCCUGCCAUGGCUUCACCACAGUGUCACUUCACCAGUGAUGGAGCUCCCAACCCCUCCCCAGUCCCCCACCUCCCCGACAUCUCUUGUCUGCUGCAAGCUGCCGCAAUCAGUACGGGCCCCUGAUUGGACUUGGGCAGGUGAGCGCAGUACACUUUAAUCACGGGGCCAGAACAAGCCAGAUCAUCCCCAGUGUGUGCCUGCCUGGCGGCAGAGUGGGAGGACGAUCUGUGUCUGUGUGUGGAUGCAUUAAAAGGACAGAUUGGGAAGCCGCGAUGGCGGCACAGAAGUUGAGGGAGAAGCUAUUUAUCCCAGACGGAUCAGGAGGUGUGUGACGGAGGUGUGGACGGUUGCUGCAGGUCAGUGACGUUGGCAGGCGCCAGGCAGGCCGGCCCACAUGGCUCGGGGACUGUGGGACUACAGACAGAUGGCACCUGGUGGGUGACAAACAAUUAACAAACCAACAAGAAUAGCUGGAUCGGCAGUAUACCCACAAGCACAGGAGAUAGCAAGAGAGCGGGUGCAUCUGUGCUCUGAACACUUUUACUCUUUACUUUUCCUCUUCCCAAGUCUUGUUUUGUAUAACAGUUGCAAUUUACCCAUGUGUCUUUUUCACAAAAACACUCUUGUUGUCGUGUCGCUAUAGAACAGUCUAAAUAAAGCAGUGUGGAGCAUAUGCAGCCAGCAUAUGUUUCUGUUUAUUUCAGAAGAAGCAGUGGGUAAUUUAAAUGUGCAAUACUGUGGAACAGCACAUUUGAUAUCUACUUAAAUGUUAAGCAAAACUUAUAAACAGUUAUAUAAAGUUUGUCUUUGCAAUAGCAUUGCCUGCAUUGGUUACAGGUUAUGUGUAAAAUCCAUGCUGGGAAUAGAUUGUGUGGUUUAUGGUCGUCACUGGUAUUGGACUGUCUAACUACAUUCAAUUGUAAUUAGACAGUCCACUUACUGUACACUGAAGAUGGCCUCUGUUGUCAUAAAUGAGAAAAUAUGUGAUUAUUUAAUCUUUUUUAAGAGUGACAAGAUUGAAAUUAUUAUCCAUACUGAGCUC